rnacentral:misc_RNA from 1 species
AAGUCGUAACAAGGUUUCCGUAGGUGAACCUGCGGAAGGAUCAUUAUUGAAUAAAACUGGCGUGGUUGUAGCUGGCCCUCUUGGGGGCAUCAUGUGCUCGCCCGUCAACUUUAUAUCUCCACCUGUGCACCCUUUGUAGACCUGGACGAUAACUUUUCCCGAGUGCAAACUCGGGUCGGGAGGACUGCUGGCUUUCACGAGUCGGCUUUCCUUGUAUUAUCCAGGCUCUAUGUUAUUCACAUACCCCAAAGAAUGUAACAGAAUGUAUCAUUAUGGCCUUGUGCCUAUAAACUAUAUACAACUUUCAGCAACGGAUCUCUUGGCUCUC